rnacentral:rRNA from 1 species
AUUGAACGCUGGCGGCAGGCCUAAUACAUGCAAGUCGAACGAGUGGCGGACGGGUGAGUAAUGUCUGGGAAACUGCCUGAUGGAGGGGGAUAACUCCUGGAAACGGUAGCUAAUACCGCAUCCCAUCAGAUUGGCCCAGAUUGGCUUAGCUUGUUGGUGGGGUAACGGCUCACCACGUCGACGAUCCCUAGCUGGUCUGAGAGGCUGACCAGCAACAGUGGAACGGAGACACGGUCCAGACGCCGACGGGAGGCAGCAGUGGGGAAUAUUGCACAAUGGGCGCAAGCCUGAGGCAGCCAUGCCGCGUGUAUGAAGAGGGCCUUCGGGUUGUAAAGUACUUUCAGCGGGGAGGCGUUACCCGCAGAGGAAGCACCGGCUAACGCAGUGCCAGCAGCCGCGGUAAUAC